UACGUAGGGGGCAAGCGUUGUCCGGAAUUAUUGGGCGUAAAGAGCUCGUAGGCGGUCAGUCGCGUCUGCUGUGAAAACUCGGGGCUUAACUCCGGGCCUGCAGUGGGUACGGGCAGACUAGAGUGCAGUAGGGGAGACUGGAAUUCCUGGUGUAGCGGUGAAAUGCGCAGAUAUCAGGAGGAACACCGGUGGCGAAGGCGGGUCUCUGGGCCGUAACUGACGCUGAGGAGCGAAAGCGUGGGGAGCGAACAGG
rnacentral:rRNA from 1 species